AAUAAAGUGCCUGAUUAAAGGAAUAUUCUGAUAGGAUAUAUAAUGUAAAUAAUUUACCUUUAUUA
rnacentral:tRNA from 1 species